AAGUUGCAUGAAAUGUAAAUGGCAAGGAAUGAUAAAUGACUAAAAUUUAAAUUGCAUAAAGUAAAUGACUUGAAAGUAAAAGUAUAAUGAAUAAGAGUUAGUCAAUGGCUAGUCAAAUGUUAGUGUUGAGUUUUAAUUGAUUAAGUCAUUCUUUGGAGAACACUCAACCAUUCAUACAUAAGUAUGAAUCCUUAAACCAAG
rnacentral:lncRNA from 1 species